AAGACAUCUGAAGAAUACCAAAGGUUUACCGCUAUAGGAUGGGGAUGCGUCUGAUUAGGUAGUAGGCGGGGUAACGGCCCACCUAGCCGACGAUCAGUAGGGGUUCUGAGAGGAAGGUCCCCCACAUUGGAACUGAGACACGGUCCAAACUCCUACGGGAGGCAGCAGUGAGGAAUAUUGGUCAAUGGACGGAAGUCUGAACCAGCCAAGUAGCGUGCAGGAUGACGGCCCUAUGGGUUGUAAACUGCUUUUAUAUAGGGAUAAAGUCGGGGACGUGUCCCCGUUUGUAGGUACUAUAUGAAUAAGGACCGGCUAAUUCCGUGCCAGCAGCCGCGGUAAUACGGAAGGUCCAGGCGUUAUCCGGAUUUAUUGGGUUUAAAGGGAGCGCAGGCUGAUGAUUAAGCGUGACGUGAAAUGUAGCCGCUCAACGGCUGAACUGCGUCGCGAACUGGUUAUCUUGAGUGAGUUCGAUGUUGGCGGAAUUCGUGGUGUAGCGGUGAAAUGCUUAGAUAUCACGAAGAACUCCGAUUGCGAAGGCAGCCAACAAGGCCUUUACUGACGCUAAAGCUCGAAGGUGCGG
rnacentral:rRNA from 1 species